CUCUCCCUCUCCCUCUCCCUCUCCGUCUCCUACUCUUCUCCUCCUCCUGACCUCCUCGGCGAGUUGGCGACGGCUCCUCCCCUCCUCCAUGAGUACGUUUCUGCAAUCCUUCUGGUGGUGGGUCUGAUCCUAUUCACCUUAGCGGAUGCACAAACGUCUCCCAACUUCAGCGUGAUUGGUGUGGUGAUGGUAUCGGGUGCUCUAUUUUCAGUCUCCCAACUUCAGUCUUCAAUUUUCAGUCUUCAAUUCUUCAAUUCUUCAAUUCUUCAAUUCUGAAUUCAAGUAGCAAAGCAGAUGUCCUCAAGGCUCAAGCAGAUUUGUGGGUUCGAUACUUCGAUUUCAGUUUUCGAUUUCAGAUUCUUCAAGCUGGGUUCAAUUUCGGGAUUUCUGGCUAAUGGAAAAUAUUAUUCCGGUUGUGGAGAAGAGAAGACCAUCACGUGUCCUCCGCAGAGUUCGCUCACUGCAAUGGUAGAGAUAUGAUUGAGGUGUUGUAUGGAAAACAGACUGCGCUAAGAAAGAUGAAAGAAGUUGCCACAUGUGUGAUGAAGUGCAAUUCCGUGUGAAGAAAGAGAUGGCGUUGAUCGAGGGAGAUAAAAGGUAACAGAACCUUCUGUUAUACGUAGUUGGUUUGCAGGGAAUUGAAACCUCUUUUUCCCACAUUAACGCAUUAGUCCCAAAAAUAAUAUUCCCAGAACAUAUUAUUUGCUGUUUAAGUGUUUGACAGAAUUGACAAAUGGUUCAUUGUAUAAAUUGAGAUGAAAUUUGCAUCUGUUUUGGUAUGAAAAUAAUAUCAAUCAAGCAUCUGUUUUGGUAUGCUGGCGUGCUGCCAGUUUUGGACUUUUGGUAUGCUGCUUUGUUUCUCUAUCUGUAAUAUGUUAUUAAGUGUAUGUGCCAGUUUUGGUAACAUGCAAAUUUCGCUGCCGCCGCCGAAGCAAUAACUCCAAACCUUCAGAACCAAUUUCGAGUGUCAACUCCAAUUCAUAAGAUACAAAGGUCUGUCUUCCUUCUCCUUCAAACUAUCCACUCUCUUUGUUCUCAUUCAUUGUUGUGUUUGACAGCGAUUACACUUUCGUCUAAGUUAGGUUAUUAAUACAGUGAGAAUUGAUUAUGAACAUUGAGAAGGUUUACCUUUAUUUGUUUUGGAUAUUCAAUUAUGUGUUGGGUGUUCAUCUUGUUUUGACUAUGCUGAAAUCAGAAUUGGGUUCGUUGUGUUUUGGUUUUAGCUGGUGCGUGCUUUAGGUGGAGCUGUAGCGUCGUCUUCGCUUCUGGGGGUUUCUUGUUUCUCUAGUUUGUGUUCUGUGGUGUUGAAAGUUGGAGAGAGAUCGAUUGAUAUGGGAAUGAAGGUGGAUGGUUUGGUAGAGCAGGGCAGAGAGAUCCAUAAGUUCCUUCUUUUCCAAAAUCCUUGCUAUGUUUGUCUAACUGGUGAUAUCUUUCAAUUGAUUUUGAGUCUUUUGGUUAGUUUUUGUUAAGUUCCAGCUCUUCUAUUUAGGAUUCAUUGGUUAAAACUCAAGGUAGAAAAGAGGUUCUGCAAAUGUGAAUUUGUGUUUCUGAGUUUCUGACCCAGUUGAACUUUUACUGAAAACUGUACAGUUAGGUUGGGAACUUGAAAUUAUUAGCUUCUUACAAAUUGCAAUAGACAUCUUAAAGAUCGUUUCAGAGUUGGAAUCUCCUAAAAACAAUUUUUCUAGAAUUACUUAUGAUUUUUCAAAGUUGCAGGUCUGCUGCAGGAAUUUCUGUACACAGCAAUACUGUCUUUUUAUUUCGGUCUCUUUAGUAGUUUUCUAUGUCCAGUCUUUCUUGAAAGCACCAAUUAAUACUUGAAAAGUAGGCAUUCCCAUCCUUCAAAUGAAAUCAGUCUUGCUCUUUUUGGAGUUCGUACGAAGGAUUUAUGUCAUCACGAAGUUAGCUCUAUGCAUUAAGAUUUCUGCAGCAUAAUUUUCUGCAAACAUUAAGUACUUUUCUGGGUGUUAAACUAUCUCAGUUUCUUGGAAAAUAGAACACUGGGUUUCUUGUGCCUAAGGUGUUUGUUGAAAUGCAUAGCUGAAAUUUCCUGUCAGACAAUGAGGAAUGAUGCGACUAGUGAUAUUCAAUUUAUGAUCUCACUGUCAAAGUAAAGCUUCAUAUUCAAUCAGUUUGCAGUCCCUUUGAUGGUUGACUUGUUAAGUUUGUUAAUGCAGGAUGCUAAUGGCAACGAUGUGGAUCUUAGUGUGUACAAGGAGAAUGUUCUACUUAUUGUCAAUGCUUCCAAAUGGUAUUCACCUCAUAUUCGUCAAUUCUCGCAUUUACUGAUUCUUUGUUCUAUUGUUCACUGCUAUUUUUUCUUUUUCUGCUGAUUUGUUGUAGUGGACUGACCUAGUUGUAAUAUAGUUGGAUGAUCUGUUGUAAAAUGAAAAUGGAGUAAUGGUUUUGUAGAGAGUGCUAGCAAAGUAGCAAAUGGUUUUGUACAAAGUGCCAGAAAUGAUUGAAUCUAUAUUUUUCUUUUAAAAAGUUGAAUUAUUGAUUUGAUUCUUGUUCUACUGUUUUGAUUGUCAAAUUGAAUCUUCGUUCUGUUUUUCUUAAUAUGUGUUCGGAAAGCUUGCUUCACCUAUUCUCAGUCAAUAUUGGAAGAUUCAAUUGCACCAAAUCUUUUUUCCAUCCCUGCAAGAAUUAAGUCUAGUUCAGGUAUAUCUCUUUUGCCCACAAAAGUUCUAGCAGCAUCUCUGUUUGCUGCAUGAAAUUGAUCUUUGAUAGUAUAUUAGUCUUCUAAUUGCAUACGGGAAACAGCAUUCGAGUUGUUUGAUCAUCGAUCAUGGAAACUUUUGUUUUAAGAUUCAUUCAUGGAAGUUUUGACCUGAUCUUAUAAGGAAGAUAACAAUUCUUUUCAUCUUACCCUUCUGAAUGACCGGUUAUCUGCUAUAAUGUAUUCACUCAUCUCUACAUUAUUAUAUGCAGGUUCUUACCGAGGGUAAACAAAAGGAUGUACUUAAAGCUGCCGGUGCAUUGUUUUCACAUAUUUGUGAGAUUUAGGCAGGGUUAAUGUGCAUCACAUUUAUGGACAAGUAUCGUGGGGGUUAAUGUUGGGAUAGAAUGACUUUGUUGGAUAUAUGGAUGAAUGUAUCGAAUCUUUACAUAAAUAAAUGUGUUUUGGGUUAUCAUUUGGAUCCCAUAUAUGCAGA